ACCCCCUUUUUAGACUAAUUGGUGCAGAAAUCCAUCCAUUAUUGAACACUGAGCUAUUUAUAUCAGAAUAUAACGUCUUGAUCCAGUUAAUAAAUGAACUAUUAAAGCCGAAAUGUUCGAGAGUUUGGUACAUAAAGGUCCAUUUUAAAGUAUCAAAUGCUUUUGAAAAGUCUAGAAACAAAAUUGCACCUUCAACAUUAAAUUUGUCGGCGUAAUCUAUGAUGUCUUGUAUUUGUCUGAGAUUGAAGCCAAUAUAUCGUUUUUUUAUAUAUCCUGUUUGGUCUGCAUUUAUUAUUAAAUUUAGUACAUUUUUUAUUCUUUGAGCUAAUGUGUAAGAUAGUAUUUUAUAGUCCUGAGUUUAAUAAGGAGAUUGGCCUAUAAUUUGAAAGAUCUAGUGGAUCAUUCUUUUUGUAUAUAAGAUUAAGAAUACUUUGUCUUUGAGAAAAUGGUAGCUUUUGCCUGUCGUAGCUUGUAUUAAAGAUGUUAACAAGGAUUGGGCCUAAUGAUUGCCAAAACUUUUUAUAGAAAUUUGUUGUGAUACCAUCUUUACCUGGGCUUUUAUUGGGUUUUAAAUU
rnacentral:lncRNA from 1 species